CAGUAGCCGCGGUAAUACGGAGGAUCCAAGCGUUAUCCGGAAUCAUUGGGUUUAAAGGGUCCGUAGGCGGUCUUGUAAGUCAGUGGUGAAAGCCCAUCGCUCAACGGUGGAACGGCCAUUGAUACUGCAGGACUUGAAUUAUUGGGAAGUAACUAGAAUAUGUAGUGUAGCGGUGAAAUGCUUAGAGAUUACAUGGAAUACCAAUUGCGAAGGCAGGUUACUACCAAUUGAUUGACGCUGAUGGACGAAAGCGUGGGUAGCGAACAGGAUUAGAGACCCCUGUAGUCCCUGUCUCUUAUAA
rnacentral:rRNA from 1 species